rnacentral:lncRNA from 1 species
ACGUCGGCUUUCCAUACAGUUACCAUCUACCAAAUUCUCUCCCAAGGGUCGAUGGGAGUGAAUUUGGUAGACGGAAACUGGUCGACCCGGGGCUAUAAUUCAGAACACUUGUCCAAGAUAUCGCGAAGUGGGACUGACCUCGAAACUGAUUAAAAAAAAAAAAACAAGCUUUUUAACCACACACCGAAUGCCUUUUGUCCCCUUUGUUAUUAACAAUGUUAGUUCUGACCGACCAUCAUCAAAAAAACCUAACUGAAUGAAAAGAAAACCGUCCUACAUCUCUGUUCAAGUUAGGAGAUACCAAGAGACACGCUUUCAAAAGUGUAGUGGAUCUUGUCUAGAGAAAAUAUGCGUAGUUUCCUUCAUUAGCAUGCAAAACUACGUCAGAACUACCCUUGGUGAAUAUUCAAAAACUUGAAGUCUUAGAUAAUUCUUGACCCGAUCCAGUGUAGAUUACGAUUAAGCUGAUGAUAUUUUUUUAAUAAUUUUCAUUUUUUUUUUUUAGUCAGAAAGAAACGAAAGUUAUAUCUUUUUAACUAUUCAGUAACAUUGCUCAUGGUUUUUGCACAAUAUAACAAAUUAUGUCAAUUAAAAAGAACAGGACACAUUACUGCAUAUCAUCUAGAAUACUUUCGAACUGCGUUAAAGUAGGCUAAACCUAAAGAAGUACCAUACACAUGUAAAUAUGCCCAUUUAACCACACUAUACGCAUAUAUUUCUUUACUGCCCACAGGGGGCUAAACAUAGAGGGUACAAACAAGGAUAGACAAGGAGAUUAAGUCGAUUACAUCGACCCCAGUGCGUAAUUGGUACUUAUUUUAUCGACCCCGAAAGGAUGAAAGGCAAAGUCGUCCUCGGCGGAAUUUGAACUCAGAACAAAACGGCAGACGAAAUACCAAUAAGCAUAUCGCAAAUUUUUUUUUCUUUCUCACACGGAGACAACAAAGAGGGGACGUUACAAUCUGAUAUGGGGUCAGAUUUCUCGUAUGAGUUAACAAAAAGAUGAAUUUUAAAAUUUUACAUAAAUAUGAAUAGUUCGAAUAAUAACAUAUACUAGACAACAAUACAGAAUGGAGUGAGGGGGGCGGGAUAUGCUCUGACCCUAUGAGCCCCGUCUCAAAUCUGAUGCUUUGGUUCGUCCUGUGUUGUAUUUAUGUGGUUCCAUCCAUACGCAACAUUCGUGCAACAUUCUUCCAUCGAUCUUGGAACAUUUUCGCGGACAGGCAUUUUUUCUCUGACCCUAUUUUCCUUCUUAGGUGGAAGGUAAAGAAAUUCACCAACCCAGGGCCAGAGAUAAAAAUGCCUGUUAUUAACCCUUUCAUUCGCGUCUUCCUAAUCACCUCUCUCGCAAUUGCUACUACGAUGAGAAAGCAAUUCUUACCUUCUUUCGAUAGGAAAUCCGGUGGGUCAAUUUUUCCUAUUAACUCAGUCGAUAGCUGUACUCUUCCUGUACUUGACAACAGUUGUUCGGCAUAAACCCACACAUCUGACACCCCCGAACACUGAACAAUAGCGUGCGGGACGGUUUCCCUGUCCCGCCCACAUCUUGGACAGGUCGGUGAGCCAGGAUCACCAUGCCUUGCGAGCUUGUUUCGGACAAGUAAGUCUCCUCAGUACCAUUGCCAUGCCAAAGACUUCUGGCAGUUAUCCAGUGUCUUCGGCCCGAAUGUACAUUGGAACAGACUGGCCAGCUGAUUAUCGUCGAGACCUAGGGCUUCCCCCAAAGUAUCAUCACAGUUCGCUUCAACCAACCCUCUAUAGAAGAAUGUGGUAGAACCACUACUGCAGGCGUUGCCCGAGAGAUGGAAUAUCUGGAGAGCCUUACGACACUCCGUAAACCAUGUAUCCAACUUCGAUCUACGAUAGAACCAGGUAUCCAGUCCACCGAAACAAGUAAACUUGGGAAACAUCUGUUUCGCCAGCGGAGACCACACCCGGUCACCAUCCAGAUGGAGCCACAGAUGCCUCAACCACAGCGCGUGCCUGCGCAUCAUCAGCCAAGGCAUCCCUGGUUGUUGGCAGCAAAUAGAGCGUCUCACAAGCGGAUUCGAACCCUUCCACAAGAAGCAGAAGAGCUGUCUUUCUAACUUGCUCAACCACGAAUCAGGGCAGGGAACGACGGUUAGGCGGUAGGUGAUGACCGAUGUGAUGAACACAUUGACUACCUCCGCCCUCCCUUUCAGGGAUAGCCACUGCCAAGACCAGGUCUUGGCUAUGUGGGGCACCCUGCUCGCUACCUCGGCCCAGUUCUUCUCUAUUUGGAGGCCUGGUCCAAACCAGACGCCUAGCAACUUAAUUGGACUCUCCGUCCAACGUUCCAUGACGCUGUCAGGAGGCAUCGACUUGCCUCUCCAGGUGCCGAGCUGCAAGCCGACUGACUUUUCACGAUUAACCUUUGCUCCUGCUACCGUAUCGUAUUCCUCAAUGGCUCUGCCUACUCUCUGUAGGUGAUCCAUUUCAGUUAUGAUGAUGGUGAUGUUGUCCGCGUACGCUGAAAUCGACUCUCCACAACUUAGCUGUCUUGUGAUGUUGCUCAAUUUUCGCAGCAAUGGCUCAAGAGCCAUUACGUACAAAAGCGGAGAGAGCGGACACUCUUGACGAACCGAGCGUUUGAUGCUGAACGGCUUAGAUGGAAACCCGUUCACCCGUCCUACCAAGUCGAUGUUGUGAUAAAUUUCAAUGAUCCACCUGAGGAAGCCAAGGCCCAGACCGGACACCAGAUAAUGAUGGUCGACUCUAUCAAAAGCCUUUGCUUGGUCUAAAUGGACCACUGCCCCUCCCUUACCAGAACUGUUAUUAAACCCCACUACAGUGUACCAUAUAAGAUGGAGAUUAUCCUGGAUGGAUCUACCGGGAACGGCACAUAUCUAUCAUUCCCGAUCAAGCCAUCUGCGAUGCGCGCCAACCUUUUCGAUAACACUUUGGCCAAAAUCUUCAACUCUGUGUUUAGCAGAGUGAUGGACUGAAAAUUAUCAAUGCAAUCCCCCUUGUGCGGAUCCUUUCUGACAAGCGUCACCACUCUCCGGCGCACAGAUCUAGGAAUGAACCCAUUCUGCUGCAAGAUCGUGUAGACAUUCACCAGCAGGUGACCGAACAAGUCCUGCAUACUUUUAUACAGUUCAUAGGGUAGACCAUCCAGUCCCGGCGCCUUACGCGUGCCGCAGUCCGCCAUAGCCUCAAUUACAUCCUCAGGUGUGAUCGGCCCUUCACAACGCUCCGCGUCCUGCCCCGAUAGAAACAGCGAGCAUUAAAAUCGGUUUUGGCAAAUCCGUUUCGGUUUUACUGAUCAUAAUAUAAAACCGGUUUCGAGGCCUAUUCUGGAGCCUACUAUUUGCUAUAAAAGCCUCAGCGAUUCACCCUAACUCGUCUUUGGUUCUCACCACUGACCACAGAGCACAGCCAGUUACAGCGACAGCCGACACCAGCAGUAUUUCAGGACCUCCACCUUCGUCGCCUCCACCACCGUCGCCUUCAUCUUAACGACGCCAACAGCGACUUCGCCAAGGUUUAACUUCACGCUAUUUGUGAAUAUUUCACCAUGGUUAACAGCAAGCUCUACUUGAAAGAUUUUCCUGCAUCAAGUAAACCGGCACAGCAUAGAAGCCACAACCGCUACACGACAUGUGUUCAACCGGCCUCUGCUUUGUGACCUCAACUUCUUGUACAGAAUUCCAACUAUUGUGUAUCUUACUACGAACUGAUAUCUAUUUUCAUUUUGUGUCUGAACAUUCAUGUAGCGUCCUAUUGUAACCACUUUCUAUGUUCUGUAUUUUAUCUCACACGCAUACACACUUGUUAGUACACACAUACAUUAUGUACGCUUGACGACCAGUUUAUUAUUAUUGUUCUUAUGCGAUUAUGGCGAACACACAGACACACUCAGCUAAGACAUAUAUACAUUAUUGUAUGCUUGACAGCCUGUCUUAUUGUUCUUAUUAUAUAUGUACUUAUGACGCACACACGUACACACGCUCUGCUACCCACGUGUCAACGCCUAAAUAAAACCUUUCUCUUAACAUUUA